CCUACGGGGGGCAGCAGUAGGGAAUUUUCGGCAAUGGGGGGAACCCUGACCGAGCAACGCCGCGUGAACGAAGAAGUUAUUCGUAAUGUAAAGUUCUUUUAACAGGGAAGAAAGAGAAAUUUGACGGUACCUGAAGAAUAAGCUCCGGCUAACUACGUGCCAGCAGCCGCGGUAAUACGUAGGGAGCGAGCGUUAUCCGGAAUGAUUGGGCGAAAAGGGUGCGUAGAUGGCAUAGUAAGUCUUUUGUAAAAAGGCUGGGCUCAACCCAGUAGGGCAAAAGAUACUGCAAAGCUAGAGUAUGACAGAGGCAAGUGGAACUACAUGUGUAGCGGUAAAAUGCGUAAAUAUAUGUAAGAACACCAGUGGCGAAGGCGGCUUGCUGGGUCGAUACUGACAUUGAGGCACGAAAGCGUGGGGAGCAAACAGGAUUAGAUACCCGAGUAGUC
rnacentral:rRNA from 1 species